rnacentral:rRNA from 1 species
AUUGAACGCUGGCGGCAGGCUUAACACAUGCAAGUCGAACGGUAACGGGUUGAAAGCUUGCUUUCAAUGCUGACGAGUGGCGGACGGGUGAGUAAGGCUUGGGGAUCUGGCUUUUGGAGGGGGAUAACCAUUGGAAACGAUGGCUAAUACCGCAUAGUAUCGAGAGAUGAAAGGGGUGGGAAACCACUUGCCAAGGGAUGAACCCAAGUGAGAUUAGGUAGUUGGUGGGGUAAGGGCCUACCAAGCCGACGAUCUCUAGCUGGUCUGAGAGGAUGGCCAGCCACACUGGGACUGAGACACGGCCCAGACUCCUACGGGAGGCAGCAGUGGGGAAUAUUGCGCAAUGGGGGGAACCCUGACGCAGCCAUGCCGCGUGAAUGAAGAAGGCCUUCGGGUUGUAAAGUUCUUUCGGUGGUGAGGAAGGUGGUAGUGUUAAUAGCGCUAUUGUUUGACGUUAGCUACAGAAGAAGCACCGGCUAACUCCGUGCCAGCAGCCGCGGUAAUACGGAGGGUGCGAGCGUUAAUCGGAAUAACUGGGCGUAAAGGGCACGCAGGCGGGACGUUAAGUGAGAUGUGAAAGCCCCGGGCUUAACCUGGGAACAGCAUUUCAUACUGGCGUACUAGAGUACUUUAGGGAGGGGUAGAAUUCCACGUGUAGCGGUGAAAUGCGUAGAGAUGUGGAGGAAUACCGAAGGCGAAGGCAGCCCCUUGGGAAGAUACUGACGCUCAUGUGCGANAGCGUGNGGAGCANACAGG